GCAGCACCGCGGCUCAUUUCCGCGCUCGCGUGCUACCGUAUACGUAAUGAAUUUUCUGCUUAUCGAAUACACAACGAUCGCGAGCACAGAGCGUUUAUUGUGCUUUAUCGGCGCGGCGCGGCGCGAACAAAAUUUCUAUUUGCCUGGACAAAAUUAAAAUAUCGGCCCGAUGUGGUGACAAUUAAAUCGUUAAUUUCACGAAAUGGGUGUGUGCAAGAGAACCGCCGUCAGUACCGUCCGCGCGGCGUUUUACGCGUGGCAAGGUUGGAGCUUUGUGACAUUGAUCGGCAUCGUCAUAGCUCUGAUGUUAUUCUCUUAUAAUUAUGUAAUUAAACCUUCGGAGGUAACGGCAUCGCAAAAUUAAACCUAUUCAAACUUACGAAGAAGUACGGAAGGACUAAGUAAAUCAGAAUUCCUAAAUGAGCAAUUACCAUAAUGAAGAAGUUAUUCAAGAAAACCUUCAACUUCUCGUUAAUGCAAGCAGUAACUGAACUAUUAUCAGCAUCGUAUUCUCCGACCCGUCUUUUACGUUAAAAAAAAUUUGAAAUAAUAAGCAUAUGAAAAUCUA